rnacentral:rRNA from 1 species
CGGGUAGACCUCCCACCCUUGUGUAUUUAUACUAUGUUGCUUUGGCGGGUAGCACCUCCGGGUGCUUCAGGGCUUGCUCGCCCGCCGAAGGAUACCUAAACUCUGUUUAUUAAUGUCGUCUGAGUACUAUAUAAUAGUUAAAACUUUCAACAACGGAUCUCUUGGUUCUGGCAUCGAUGAAGAACGCAGCGAAAUGCGAUAAGUAAUGUGAAUUGCAGAAUUCAGUGAAUCAUCGAAUCUUUGAACGCACAUUGCGCCCCUUGGUAUUCCGGGGGGCAUGCCUGUUCGAGCGUCAUUUCAACCCUCAAGCUCUGCUUGGUAUUGGGCCUCCGCCAGUAAAAUGGCGGGCCUUAAAAUCAGUGUGCGGUGCCGUUGGGUCCUGAGCGUAGUAAUUUUUCUCGCUACAGGUUCCCCGCGUGCCUCUGCCAUUAAACCCCAAAUUUUCUAUGGUUGACCUCGGAUCAGGUAGGGAUACCCGCUGAACUUAAGCAUAUCAAUAAGCGGAGGAAAAGAAACCAACAGGGAUUGCCUCAGUAACGGCGAGUGAAGCGGCAUAAGCUCAAAUUUGAAAUCUGACUCUUUCAGGGUCCGAGUUGUAAUUUGUAGAAGAUGUUUCGGGUGUGGUUCCGGUCUAAGUUCCUUGGAACAG